ACUUAAAUUGAAGAGUUUGAUCAUGGCUCAGAUUGAACGCUGGCGGCAGGCCUAACACAUGCAAGUCGAGCGGUAGCACAGAGAGCUUGCUCUCGGGUGACGAGCGGCGGACGGGUGAGUAAUGUCUGGGAAACUGCCUGAUGGAGGGGGAUAACUACUGGAAACGGUAGCUAAUACCGCAUAACGUCGCAAGACCAAAGUGGGGGACCUUCGGGCCUCAUGCCAUCAGAUGUGCCCAGAUGGGAUUAGCUAGUAGGUGGGGUAACGGCUCACCUAGGCGACGAUCCCUAGCUGGUCUGAGAGGAUGACCAGCCACACUGGAACUGAGACACGGUCCAGACUCCUACGGGAGGCAGCAGUGGGGAAUAUUGCACAAUGGGCGCAAGCCUGAUGCAGCCAUGCCGCGUGUGUGAAGAAGGCCUUCGGGUUGUAAAGCACUUUCAGCGGGGAGGAAGGCGAUAAGGUUAAUAACCUUGUUGAUUGACGUUACCCGCAGAAGAAGCACCGGCUAACUCCGUGCCAGCAGCCGCGGUAAUACGGAGGGUGCAAGCGUUAAUCGGAAUUACUGGGCGUAAAGCGCACGCAGGCGGUCUGUCAAGUCGGAUGUGAAAUCCCCGGGCUCAACCUGGGAACUGCAUUCGAAACUGGCAGGCUAGAGUCUUGUAGAGGGGGGUAGAAUUCCAGGUGUAGCGGUGAAAUGCGUAGAGAUCUGGAGGAAUACCGGUGGCGAAGGCGGCCCCCUGGACAAAGACUGACGCUCAGGUGCGAAAGCGUGGGGAGCAAACAGGAUUAGAUACCCUGGUAGUCCACGCCGUAAACGAUGUCGAUUUGGAGGUUGUGCCCUUGAGGCGUGGCUUCCGGAGCUAACGCGUUAAAUCGACCGCCUGGGGAGUACGGCCGCAAGGUUAAAACUCAAAUGAAUUGACGGGGGCCCGCACAAGCGGUGGAGCAUGUGGUUUAAUUCGAUGCAACGCGAAGAACCUUACCUGGUCUUGACAUCCACAGAACUUAGCAGAGAUGCUUUGGUGCCUUCGGGAACUGUGAGACAGGUGCUGCAUGGCUGUCGUCAGCUCGUGUUGUGAAAUGUUGGGUUAAGUCCCGCAACGAGCGCAACCCUUAUCCUUUGUUGCCAGCGGUUAGGCCGGGAACUCAAAGGAGACUGCCAGUGAUAAACUGGAGGAAGGUGGGGAUGACGUCAAGUCAUCAUGGCCCUUACGACCAGGGCUACACACGUGCUACAAUGGCAUAUACAAAGAGAAGCGACCUCGCGAGAGCAAGCGGACCUCAUAAAGUAUGUCGUAGUCCGGAUUGGAGUCUGCAACUCGACUCCAUGAAGUCGGAAUCGCUAGUAAUCGUAGAUCAGAAUGCUACGGUGAAUACGUUCCCGGGCCUUGUACACACCGCCCGUCACACCAUGGGAGUGGGUUGCAAAAGAAGUAGGUAGCUUAACCUUCGGGAGGGCGCUUACCACUUUGUGAUUCAUGACUGGGGUGAAGUCGUAACAAGGUAACCGUAGGGGAACCUGCGGUUGGAUCACCUCCUUACCUUAAAGAA
rnacentral:rRNA from 1 species